rnacentral:sRNA from 1 species
UACUCACGGAGUUGGCACAGCCUCUGCAUUAAAAAAUCCGACAGAUCACAUAAACACUGCCUUCAACGUGGAGGGCGGUGUUUCCCGACAGAACGGGAAUGGACAAAGGCGUCCUCGCUGGCUAACCGGCGGGACGCC